GACGAGCGCUGGCGGCGUGCCUAAUACAUGCAAGUAGAACGCUGAAGGAGGAGCUUGCUUCUCCGGAUGAGUUGCGAACGGGUGAGUAACGCGUAGGUAACCUGCCUGGUAGCGGGGGAUAACUAUUGGAAACGAUAGCUAAUACCGCAUAAGAGUAGAUGUCGCAUGACAUUUGCUUAAAAGGUGCAACUGCACCACUACCAGAUGGACCUGCGUUGUAUUAGCUAGUUGGUGAGGUAACGGCUCACCAAGGCAACGAUACAUAGCCGACCUGAGAGGGUGAUAGGCCACACUGGGACUGAGACACGGCCCAGACUCCUACGGGAGGCAGCAGUAGGGAAUCUUCGGCAAUGGACGGAAGUCUGACCGAGCAACGCCGCGUGAGUGAAGAAGGUUUUCGGAUCGUAAAGCUCUGUUGUAAGAGAAGAACGAGUGUGAGAGUGGAAAGUUCACACUGUGACGGUAUCUUACCAGAAAGGGACGGCUAACUACGUG
rnacentral:rRNA from 1 species